rnacentral:rRNA from 1 species
AGUGAACGCCGGCGGUAGGCUCAACACAUGCAAGUCGAACGGCAGCACAGUAAGAGCUUCCUCUCACGGGUGGCGAGUGGCGGACGGGUGAGGAAUACACCGGAAUCUACUUUUUCGUGCGGGAUAACGUAGGGAAACUUACGCUAAUACCGCACACGACCUAAGGGUGAAAUCAGGGGAUCUUUGGACCUUGCGCGAUGGAACGAGGCGAUGUCGGAUUAGAUAGUUGGCGGGGAAAAGGCCCACAUAGGCGACGCUCCGUAGCUGGUCUGAGAGGAUGAUCAGCCACUCUGGAACUGACCCCCGGUCCAGACGCCUACAGAAGGAAGCAGUGGGGAAUAUUGGACAAUGGCCGCAAGCCUGAUCCAGCCAUACCGCGUAGGUAGAAGUGGCCUUCGGGUUGUGAAGCCCUUUUGUUGGGAAAGAAAAGCAGCAGUUUAAUACCCCGCUGUUCUGACGGUACCCAAAGAAUGAGCACCGGCUAACUUCGUG